UCUGGGGUCUAGCUCAGCAAGCGGGCACCCCCCAGGGACUGCAGGCACCGUGCCUUCCUGAUUGGGACAGUCUGCGGCGUUUCCUUACUGCGAAAGCCUCCACCAGUCAGGCUCGUGGCGAGUGACUGGAGGGGUUAUUUCUGUCACAAACACAUGGAAGGCAACAGGUGCCACCAACCCUACAACACACCAGGCCAGUUCCAGACUCUGCCAUCCAUCAUCGAAUCAGGCCCAAGAUUUUAUCAGACGCCCCCAAGGGAGAAAGGCUGCGGAUCUUGCUGACACACCUGUGUCCUCCAGGUUCAUCCAUGCCGUGAGCAAGAAUGGGGAGAAACUGGAACUGUUGUCCGUGGCUGGUGGGAAUGUAAAAUAAGGCAGCUGCUGUGGAAAACAGCCAGAAGGGGGAAACAGCCUGCAUGUCCACCUGUGGAUGCUUGGAUAAACAAAUUGUGACGUAGACACACAACAGAGUACGCCGCUGUGAAAAGAAAUGAAGUCCUGAUACGAGCUCCCAAGCCUGGAAACCUCAUGCUAAGAGAAAGAUGCCAGCACAAAUCCGGAAAAUGCGUAUCCCAUCGAAACAGAAAGCAGAUUGGUGUUUGCCAGGGGCUGGGGGGAAGAAGGGAGUGAGGAGUGACUGCUUCACGGCUAUGAGUUUUUCUUUGGGGGUGAUGAAGAUGUUUCAGAACCAGAUGGAGUGGUGAUUAUACAACAGUUUGGAUGUGCUAAACACCCCAGAAUUGUAUACUUUAAAAAGGUUAAUUUGGGGGAACCCAAGGGAGGGCAAAGAAAACAAAACAUAUGUAGUCCUAGUGGCUUCUGCUCUCAUCCAGGUCUGGGUUCCCUAAGUCUAACCUGCACACAACUGAGGGCACGGGAAAUAAGAAUUUUAGGCAGUAUGCAGGUAGAUUAAAAUUUUCUAAUGGCUUUGUAUUUAUUUCAAUAAGUAUAAAAACAUAACUGGCAAAUCAAAAUCAUGAUUUCACUUACAUGUUUUCUUAAGGAUGAGCCCACACUAAAUAUUCAUGUAAAAAAGUGACUUCAUUUAAAGAAAAAAGAUUUUUAAAAAAGGUUAAUUUUAUGUCAUGUGAAUUUCUCCUUAUAAAAGAAAGGGAAUAAAUGCUGAAA